rnacentral:misc_RNA from 1 species
AUCUCGUUUUGCUGUUUCUGGUUGUUUUGUGAUCAAUUUUCAGUUCCGUGAUAUGUUAUUUUAAAUGGAUUUCUUGUGGAUGACGUAGUUUGAUCGAACAGUUAAUCUCUGCUUGAUUGUUAAGAAAGCUCAGGAAACAUAAAAGUCUGGUAACAAAUAGAAUUAGAUUAUGAAUUGCUACUUUUCUUUUUUUAUUGCCUGGGCUUUUGAAUGUUUCUAUUGAUUUACAUUGUCAAUAAUUGUAAGCUCAACUUGCAUUUGCAAACUAGGGAGAAUGGAUCCUUG